CCCUGCAUUCGAAAGUGAUCGUGGGCUGCCGGUGCCUUAGUCAUUUAUAGCGCAGGGAGAGGAAUUGCUGAAAGCGUUUUCCCUGUGUUUGGAGGGUUCACUCCUGUCCCUUCUGAACUCUGGAGCUGUCACACA
rnacentral:snoRNA from 1 species